UCAAGUGGCAUUUUAAUAAUUGAUAAUUUUUAAAAGGUAAGUAAGGUAAGUUUUAGACAUAAGACACAAAGUGAACAGACACAGUGUUUAAUAUACACGGAGACAGUGUUCUUUAUUUUGGUAUGGAGCUGGGAAAUGAUGUAAACUUUCAAAGAAACUAUAACGUCUCUUACCAUGUUAAGUUUUAAUUUUACUUUCAGUUGAAAAUCGAGUUCGUCCGUUAGUGCUGGUGAUUAAGAAGUGGGCAAGUCACCAUCAGAUAAAUGAUGCCAGUCGUGGUACUUUAAGCAGCUAUAGUCUUGUAUUGAUGGUUUUGCACUAUUUACAAACCCUACCUGAACCCAUCCUUCCAUCCCUCCAAAAAAUUUACCCAGAGUCUUUUAGUCCUGCUAUACAGCUGCACCUUGUACAUCAAGCUCCAAGUAAUGUUCCUCCUUACCUCUCAAAGAAUGAAUCAAACCUUGGGGACCUCUUACUGGGCUUUCUUAAAUAUUAUGCUACAGAAUUUGACUGGAAUAGUCAAAUGAUUUCAGUUCGUGAAGCCAAAGCCAUUCCAAGGCCUGAUGGUAUUGAAUGGAGAAAUAAAUACAUCUGUGUAGA
rnacentral:sRNA from 1 species